rnacentral:rRNA from 1 species
UACAGAGGUCUCAAGCGUUGUUCGGAUUCAUUGGGCGUAAAGGGCGCGUAGGCGGGCCGCCAAGUUCGAGGUGAAAUCCUCCGGCUCAACCGGAGAACUGCCUCGAAUACUGGAGGCCUCGAGGCGGGUAGGGGCGUGCGGAACUGUGGGUGGAGCGGUGAAAUGCGUUGAUAUCCACAGGAACUCCGGUGGCGAAGGCGGCACGCUGGACCCGAUCUGACGCUGAGGCGCGAAAGCCAGGGGAGCAAACGGG